UCCCCACAGGCCUCCUGGGAGGUCUCCUUGUCACAGCGACGCCUCUGCUUUCUUUGGCUCCUUUUCCAGCGUCUGCUUUUGGCGCGGUCACUCACCCGCACCAGUCGCACCGACCUCACGGACUCCGCCGAGCGCAGCCGGGCGGAGCGCGGAGCGGGAAGCGCCGGCACGGAGCCCACGGGCGCGCUCGGACCCCGUGGGCCCCAGCACGGCUCCCGCGGACUCGGUGGCGGACUCGGGCGUCCCUGGCGCGCUGUUUCCGAAGCAGGCGAGGGCCCUUCUCUAUCGACUCCCUCACUUAACAGUGGACACCGUGCAAGUUGGGUGCCAGAGUCCAGCUCCAGCCGGUCCAGCAUUUCCUGAAGGUGUGAGAGGCGUUGGCACAGGAAGAAAUGAGAGACACACUCACAGCAAGGCUGAAGGCAUGGCUCUAGCUUUCAGAUGUAAUUUUCAGGCCAACACCUGUUGACGCACACACUGCGGGGGACGCGGACCCAUUCUCUGAACAGCAUUGAACUUACGGAGGCAGAGAUGGCGGCCCAGGCCAAGAAAUCUGGUUCACGGUGUCUGUGCCCCAGGCCCCCGGGUGCUCCCGCCAGCUCCGCGGCUCCUCUCCUUCCACAGAAAGGCGGCUCAGCGCUCAGCCCAAGGUCCACUUCGUGAUCGAGGACCUGGGUGUUCUUGAAGUUUUCAGGGACUGUCCAGGAGCUUAGGUGGUAGUGGCAGUGGCUCCAAGAACCAACAUUCCAAACUGCAAAAACUCUCCUAAGCUCUUAUUGAGCAUAGUAACUUUGAGAUCCCACUAAGAUUGUGUUGCUGCUUCAUGGGCUCUUGUCCUCAGUUCAGGAUCGCCUAGACAAGGGUCCUAGCACCAGCCUAUGCAGUGCAAUUUCGCAGAGAAGUGUAAA